GCCUCUUUAGCUCAGUGGUAGAGCGCUGGUCUCGUAAACUAGGGGUCGUGAGUUCAAACCUCAAAGGAGGCA